UAAAAUAAAAAUUAAAUUUUUAGUGGAACUAAUAAUUCGGUCGUUGUACUACGAGUACUAAUUAAGUCCAAAUCUUAAGAGUUAAGACCUUAUCAUCUUUCCUUUUUACAGUCCUUUCGUCAAAUCUUGUCAUUUCUUUUUCUACCAAAAAUUUAAACAUAAAUAAAAAAAAUAAAUACAUAGUCAUAUCUUUGAUAUGCUUAUCCAAUUCUGUGUAUCAGAGUGUACCUUUGUUCCCGUACACCCUCUUACGUGGCACCACCUGAUAAGGUGUCCCUACACGUGAACCGCUUCUAUUUCAACAUGUUUCCCUUCUUUAUGGGUCCCAUCUUAGCUGUUCCUCAAUUUUGUACCACACUCUAGAAUUUUCUUUUAUUUUUUCUUUUUUCUUUUUUUUUUUUUUUGACUUUUGUCCUUUGGUUUUCUAAACCCUACAAAAUUCCGAAAAAAUAUCAGCCAAAAUAUUGUACUCUUAUUUUCUCUCUCUUCUUCCUCUCUACUCUACCAUUUUCAUGAGCAGCAAAAACAAGAAGGCUCAGAUUCCCAUAAUUAUUCAUCUAAAGAUUGUUUGACGAUGAGAGAGAGCACGCUUAAGCAAGCUUGUCGGGAUCUAUGCAAGUAACUACCAAACUGUGUACAUGCGUGCUCUCUCUCAUUGUCAUAUAAUCUAAAGAUGGAGGCAGCUUGUUUUCUUCUAUCCUCGUGCUUCAACAACAUCCACUUUGAUGUAUGUGAACAUGUUCAGAAAUUUCUUGGUGCUUCACUCUUAUUGGAGAUGAAUGGUGAUUAUAUGCACAGCUUGUCAUCUUCAUUUGCAGGAGCCAGAUGGUGGUGUUAUAUUCAGGGAUAAAGGCGGUACAUACAUUUUUAAAGCAGGUAACAACUCGUAAAGUCGUACUCCGUGAUUGAAGCAGCCACUAAAGUCUUGAGAUAGAUCAUUACAUUAUUAAAUUUGCUAUUUUGUCGGUGAAGUGUGAAUAAAUUGAUAUGAUAAUAGAGUAGGGGUGAAAAUCAAAAUUCAAUUUCGAUCUGAUUGGAUUGAAAUUUUUUGAAAAAUCGGAUUUUCGGAUUGGAUCGAAUUGACUUGUUUGGAUCUAAAAUACCGAAUUAACCGAAAUAUGAAAUCAUACUUUUAUAAAUAUUGAUUGUAUUAAUUAUGUAAAAUUAUGUUGAUAAUUUCAUUAAUAUAAAUUAUGUAAAACUAUGUUUUCAAUACUUGU